rnacentral:lncRNA from 1 species
UUUGAUAUCAUGUGAUUCUUAGUGGUGACCAUUGUCCCACUUUCUGAGCAUGUGUGAUGAUGGCGUGACACAUUAGGUUUCUAUUUCUUGGAACUAGCUUAAAUAGUUUAUGUUUCCUUAUGACGGCGUAUUCCUUUUGUUUUCAUCAUGACUAAAAUCUUUAUAUAAAACCAUUUCACUCACAUUUCACACUAUGCUCACUUUAUUCCCACACUUUCAUCUCUUUCAAAUCUUCAAACACUCUUUGCAAAUUUU